rnacentral:misc_RNA from 1 species
GAUGAAGAACGUAGCGAAAUGCGAUAAGUAAUGUGAAUUGCAGAAUUCAGUGAAUCAUCGAAUCUUUGAACGCACAUUGCGCCCGCUAGUAUUCUGGCGGGCAUGCCUGUUCGAGCGUCAUUUCAACCAUCAAGCCCCAGGCUUGUGUUGGGGGCCUGCGGCUGCCGCAGCCCCUGAAAAACAGUGGCGGGCUCGCUGUCAUUCCGAGCGCAGUAGUUACAUCUCGCUCCGGGCGUGGCGGUGGGCACCUGCCGUGAAACACUCCUUCUAAGGUUGACCUCGGAUCAGGUAGGAAUACCCGCUGAACUUAAGCAUAUCAAUAAGCGGAGGA